rnacentral:rRNA from 1 species
AUAACUGUGGAUUAGAUACCCGGGUAGUCCACGCCGUAAACGAUGAGUGCUAGAUGUCGGGGGACUUGUCCUUCGGUGUCACAGCUAACGCAUUAAGCACUCCGCCUGGGGAGUACGGCCGCAAGGCUAAAACUCAAAGGAAUUGACGGGGGCCCGCACAAGCGGUGGAGCAUGUGGUUUAAUUCGACGCAACGCGUAGAACCUUACCAGCCCUUGACAUCCCGGUCGCGGAUCGCAGAGAUGCUUUCCUU